AGUGGAAGCGUCUGGAAAGGCGCGCGAUACAGGGUGACAGCCCCGUACACAAAAGCGCAUGUGCUGUGAGCUCGAUGAGUAGGGCGGGACACGUGGUAUCCUGUCUGAAUAUGGGGGGACCAUCCUCCAAGGCUAAAUACUCCUGACUGACCGAUAGUGAACCAGUACCGUGAGGGAAAGGCGAAAAGAACCCCGGCGAGGGGAGUGAAAAAGAACCUGAAACCGUGUACGUACAAGCAGUGGGAGCCCCACCACUAAGCCAGUGGUGAACUCCACAUACGCAUCCUUUGCUGAGGAUAAGGUUAACGGAGCGAAAGCGACGUUCAACCGCAAAAGAAGCAGAGGGGGCUUAGUGGUGGGGUGACUGCGUACCUUUUGUAUAAUGGGUCAGCGACUUAUAUUCUGUAGCAAGGUUAACCGUAUAGGGGAGCCGCAGGGAAACCGAGUCUUAACCGGGCGUUAAGUUGCAGGGUAUAGACCCGAAACCCGGUGAUCUAGCCAUGGGCAGGUUGAAGGUUGGGUAACACUAACUGGAGGACCGAACCGACUAAUGUUGAAAAAUUAGCGGAUGACCUGUGGCUGGGGGUGAAAGGCCAAUCAAACCGGGAGAUAGCUGGUUCUCCCCGAAAGCUAUUUAGGUAGCGCCUCGUGAAUUCAUCUCCGGGGGUAGAGCACUGUUUCGGCUAGGGGGCCAUCCCGGCUUACCAACCCGAUGCAAACUGCGAAUACCGGAGAAUGUUAUCACGGGAGACA
rnacentral:rRNA from 1 species